AUUGAACGCUGGCGGCGUGCUUAACACAUGCAAGUCGAUCGGUAACAGGUGUAGCAAUACAUGCUGACGAGAGGCGGACGGGUGAGUAAUGCUUGGGAAUCUGCCUAUUAGUGGGGGACAACCCGGGGAAACGUCGGGCUAAUACCGCAUACGCUCUACGGAGGAAAGCCGGGGACCGCAAGGCCUGGCGCUAAUAGAUGAGCCCAAGUCGGAUUAGCUAGUUGGUAGGGAACGGCCUACCAAGGCGACAACGGGUAGGGGGCCU
rnacentral:rRNA from 1 species